AAAAAUUGAAAAAAAAAAAAAAAAUCUUCACAAAUUGAAGAGCUACUAGGCCUUGCUUCUUCAAUCAUGAAGAAGUUAAUCUCCCAUCACAAUGAUUUUCUGCAAAAAGGUCACCUUGGAACUGACAGACCAAGCUCUGAAGAAAAUAAAAACAAAGGAAUCAGAAAACUGAUGAGCAAAAUGACUAUAAAAACAUGAAUAGCAGCAUUCCAGCAUAAAUUUACAACAGGACUCCUUUGUUCUGCAAUCUCAGCAAGUGUAGUAAUCCUGAUAUUUAACAAUAUAUAAUUCACUGGGCUGCAAUUUCCCCAAUAGUCACAAACUUGGUUCUUAAACAUUUUAUUAAUGUCUAAAAGCUAUAAUUAAUAACAUUUAACAAGUCAUGCAACAAAUGUCAUAUGCACAGUUUUCCGCAUUGUUACAAGUCAUAACUGUACAAUAGUUGAUGACAGGACCCACCUCCAAAAAACAGCACACAUGUUUCACGUACCAUCAACUCCAUUUGACAAAGACGCAUUGGGCCAUA
rnacentral:misc_RNA from 1 species